rnacentral:rRNA from 1 species
GGGCCGCACAAGCGGUGGAGCAUGUGGUUAAUUCGAUGGUACGCGAGGAACCUUUACCUGGGUUUGACAUACGGAGGGAAGUGGCAGCGAUGUCACUGUGUCGCGAGACGACUCCGUACAGGUGCUGCAUGGCUGUCGUCAGCUCGUGCCGUGAGGUGUUGGGUUAAGUCCCGCAACGAGCGCAACCCUCGCCUUUAGUUGCCAGUAUUAAGUUGGGCACUCUAGAGGGACUGCCGGUGUCAAACCGGAGGAAGGUGGGGAUGACGUCAAGUCCUCAUGGCCUUUAUGACCAGGGCUACACACGUACUACAAUGGCCGGCACAAAGGGCAGCAAGCCUGCGAAGGUAAGCUAAUCCCGAAAAACCGGUCUCAGUCCGGAUCGCAGUCUGCAACUCGACUGCGUGAAGUUGGAAUCGCUAGUAAUCGUGGAUCAGCAUGCCACGGUGAAUACGUUCCCGGGCCUU